rnacentral:rRNA from 1 species
GUGCGUGGUAGGAGAGCGUUCUGUAAGCCUGUGAAGGUGUCUUGUAAAGGAUGCUGGAGGUAUCAGAAGUGCGAAUGCUGACAUGAGUAGCGAUAAAGGGGGUGAAAGGCCCCCUCGCCGUAAGCCCAAGGUUUCCUACGCAACGUUCAUCGGCGUAGGGUGAGUCGGCCCCUAAGGCGAGGCAGAGAUGCGUAGCUGAUGGGAAGCAGGUUAAUAUUCCUGCACCGUCGUAUGAUGCGAUGGGGGGACGGAUCGCGGAAGGUUGUCCGGGUGUUGGAAGUCCCGGUCCCUGCAUUGGAGAAGGCGCUCAGGCAAAUCCGGGCGCGGAAUUCAAGAGUGUGGGGCGAGCGGCCUAGUGCUGCGAAGCAAUUGGAAGUGGUUCCAAGAAAAGCCUCUAAGCUUCAGUCAUACGAGACCGUACCGCAAACCGACACAGGUGGGCGAGAUGAGUAUUCUAAGGCGCUUGAGAGAACUCGGGAGAAGGAACUCGGCAAAUUGGUACCGUAACUUCGGGAUAAGGUACGCCCUGGUAGCUUGACUGGCCUGCGCCAGAAGGGUGAAGGGGUUGCAAUAAAAUGGUGGCUGCGACUGUUUAAUAAAAACACAGCACUCUGCAAACACGAAAGUGGACGUAUAGGGUGUGACGCCUGCCCGGUGCCGGAAGAUUAAAUGAUGGGGUGCAAGCUCUUGAUUGAAGUCCCGGUAAACGGCGGCCGUAACUAUAACGGUCCUAAGGUAGCGAAAUUCCUUGUCGGGUAAGUUCCGACCUGCACGAAUGGCGUAACGAUGGCCACACUGUCUCCUCCCGAGACUCAGCGAAGUUGAAGUGUUUGUGAUGAUGCAAUCUCCCCGCGGCUAGACGGAAAGACCCCAUGAACCUUUACUGUAGCUUUGCAUUGGACUUUGAACCGAUCUGUGUAGGAUAGGUGGGAGGCUUUGAAGCGUGGACGCUAGUUCACGUGGAGCCGUCCUUGAAAUACCACCCUGGUUUGUUUGAGGUUCUAACCUUGGCCCGUGAAUCCGGGUCGGGGACAGUGCAUGGUAGGCAGUUUGACUGGGGCGGUCUCCUCCCAAAGUGUAACGGAGGAGUUCGAAGGUACGCUUGGUACGGUCGGACAUCGUACCUAAAGUGCAAUGGCAAAAGCGUGCUUAACUGCGAGACCGACAAGUCGAGCAGGUGCGAAAGCAGGACAUAGUGAUCCGGUGGUUCUGAAUGGAAGGGCCAUCGCUCAACGGAUAAAAGGUACUCUGGGGAUAACAGGCUGAUACCGCCCAAGAGUUCAUAUCGACGGCGGUGUUUGGCACCUCGAUGUCGGCUCAUCUCAUCCUGGGGCUGUAGCCGGUCCCAAGGGUAUGGCUGUUCGCCAUUUAAAGAGGUACGUGAGCUGGGUUUAAAACGUCGUGAGACAGUUUGGUCCCUAUCUGCCGUGGGCGUUGGAAUCUUGACGGGGGCUGCUCCUAGUACGAGAGGACCGGAGUGGACGUACCGCUGGUGUACCUGUUGUCUCGCCAGAGGCAUCGCAGGGUAGCUAUGUACGGAAGAGAUAACCGCUGAAAGCAUCUAAGCGGGAAACUCGCCUGAAGAUGAGGAUUCCCUGGAGGCUUGACCUCCUUGAAGGGUCGUUCGAGACCAGGACGUUGAUAGGCUGGGUGUGGAAGCGCAGUAAUGCGUUAAGCUAACCAGUACUAAUUGCCCGUAAGGCUUGAUCCU